rnacentral:rRNA from 1 species
AUGAUGUCGCGCCCGGUGGAGGUGGCCACGCCGGAACGGAGGCUGGCUGAGAUCGAUGCCCUCUUCGCAAUUCGGAGGGAGUUGCACACUGAAUCCUGCUACCUGACUGAUGUUGACAAGUGCUUUGGCUCCACCCAUAUGCUAGUGCUAGAUGUAACUUUUGGAAGCUUAUUACCCCUUUUCUUCUCCUCCAGUUAUGGCGUCUAUUCAUUUUCUGCAACUCUGGACGUGGGAGAGCGAGUUGGAUACUUUCAGCCGGAGGACUUGCUGACCACAAGCAACAACCUGGAGCUCCUCUCUGCAACUGCUACAGAAAAUUCUAACAUGGCUCACACGCGUUGCGUCUGCUGCACCCUCCACAUCAAGAAGAUGGUAUGCUCCUUCAGCGUCUGCCUCACCGCUCGCGUACGCAACCGUAUUGAAGGCUACACUGUUAUUGUCCUAUGCUUCUUUUCCAUGUCAGGGACCCUGAACUGGCGGCAGCAUUCCGUGGCCCAGAGUGACACCUUACCCUGUGUUUGUUGGAAACUGUUUGCUGCAGUGAUGAGCAACCCUGCCAACUUCGCAAAGCACCAGGCAAACCUAAAGGUGGGUUCCAUCAUAGCGAGGAUGGUGGCGAAGGUCAAGGGGAACCGGGAGCACCUGCUGACCACAAGCAUCAACUUAGACCCCCUCUCCACACCUGAUGCAGUGAUGGGCAAGCAACCCUGCCAGCCAACUUCGGCAAGCACCGGCAAAACCGAAGGCGGGUUCCAUCAUAGAAAAGAUGGUGGCGAAUGUCAAGGGGAACCGAUUUCAUUUUUCAGCUUGACAAUCUGCUUGUGGAAGAAUCAUUGCUUAAUCCCAUUCUACCUAGAUGGAAAAGGGGGCCUCCUUGAGUUCGCAGAGACGGCUGGUCAUAUUGUCAUUGUGGUGGCUGAGGGUGCAGCCCAGACCUCACCGUCUCUCCCUAGCCCCGAAAGCAAAGUUUUUUGCAGGGAGGACCUGCUGACCACAAGCAUCAACUUGGACCCCCUCUCUGCAACUGCUGCAGGUCAACCUAGACUCUGCAAAAAGUGCUGGCUACCUGCAAACUUUCCAUUAAUAGUAGUAGUAAUAGUAGUAUUCAUGAGUGCCACGUAUUUUCUUUCCAAGGAACCCUUGACUUCAGUUGGUCAUAUGGUCAUUGUAGUCGCUGAUGAUGCUGUCGACAAGAUCUCAUCGCCCAAAGUCCGCAUCCUUGUUGGAAUGUUGUGUUCACUGGAGAGACCUGACUUGGUUCCUUGGAUAUUGUCGAUAACCGGAGAGAAUAACCACGUGGAAGUCGUGGAGGAGCAUGAGUCAAGAGAAGUCAUAAGAACCCUUGACUUUGGUCACAAGUACCAUGCCGAUUGUUGCUUAAUCCCAGGGUCGCCAUUCUACGUUGAAGGAAAAGUGGGGCUCUGCAACUUCAUACAGAAGGCUGAUCGUAUGGUCAUUGUGGUGGCUGGCGAUGCUAGCCAUAAGAUCUCAUCGCCCAAAUCAUUAAUUGUGUGGACCCCACCAUCUCUUCCUCGGCUCAACUACAGUGAAAACCUUAGGUUUUUAUAUUUUUUUGGUUAUUUGCAACAGACUCGUUGGUCCGGGUCCAUCACUGUUAGAAUGUUGUGCAACAUGAAAAGGCAUGAGCCUGUUGUAACUCUCUCUUGUCAUCGUCUUGUGUUUUUGUGUUCAUUGCAGAGACCUGACUUGAUUCUUUGGAUAUUAUUGAUCACAGGAGAGGAGAAGAAACACCUGGAAGUCGUGGUUGGUUGUUACAGGGCCAGGGGGGUCUUGAGGAUAUGGUCAAGGGCCAUAUGUGUGGAGACGGUUGUCAAAGCAAUUAAGAUGUGUAGUUUGGCUGGUUCAAGAUAUAUGCAAAUGAUGAGCAAGCAACCCUGCCACCUUAGGCAAGCACCAGGGAAACCCGAAGAUGGGUUUCAUCAUAGCAAAGCUACAGCACUGUGGCACCCUGACCUUUUUAGGAAGAAGCACCUUUUGAUUCAGGACAUAUUUGAGUUCAUUGAAAGUUUACCUUGGUCUUACCGUGUGAAGUGUGAUCUAUUUGCUGUGGUAGGAGAUAGACCUGACUUGGUUCUUUGGAUGAUAUUGAUGACAGGAGAGGAGAAGAAAUACGUGGAAGUCGUGGUUGGUUGUUACAGGGCCAGGGGUCUUGAGGACAAAUAUGAGGAGACAGUUGUCAAAGCCAUACUGCAACCCCGACACACGGUGGUGAUCUUCCUCGCCUGCAUCGACUCCGGCCGCCUCUUCUUUGACUCCUGCAUGGGUAAGACACCCGGUUCCUUCUCUUGCCCUCUCACAUGCUCCAAGGAGCCCGACCAUCAUGGCCAUGUUGUGCCGGCCAUCAUGCCAAUGACCAAGUGCUUGUGGUGGUGGUGGUCAUCUGGCCACCAAUCCUCUUGA